AGUGAACGCUGGCGGUAGGCCUAACACAUGCAAGUCGAACGGCAGCACAGUAAGAGCUUGCUCUUACGGGUGGCGAGUGGCGGACGGGUGAGGAAUACAUCGGAAUCUACUUUUUCGUGGGGGAUAACGUAGGGAAACUUACGCUAAUACCGCAUACGACCUACGGGUGAAAGCAGGGGAUCUUCGGACCUUGCGCGAUUGAAUGAGCCGAUGUCGGAUUAGCUAGUUGGCGGGGUAAAGGCCCACCAAGGCGACGAUCCGUAGCUGGUCUGAGAGGAUGAUCAGCCACACUGGAGCUGAGACACGGCCCAGACUCCUACGGGAGGCAGCAGUGGGGAAUAUUGGACAAUGGGCGCAAGCCUGAUCCAGCCAUACCGCGUGGGUGAAGAAGGCCUUCGGGUUGUAAAGCCCUUUUGUUGGGAAAGAAAAGCAGCAGGUUAAUACCCCGCUGUUCUGACGGUACCCAAAGAAUAAGCACCGGCUAACUUCGUG
rnacentral:rRNA from 1 species